UUUGCCUAGGGAGGCAGCAGUGGGGAAUAUUGCACAAUGGGGGAAACCCUGAUGCAGCGACGCCGCGUGGGCGACGAAGCGCUCCGGCGCGUAAAGCCCUGUCAGCAGGGAAGAAAAAAGACAGUACCUGACCAAGAAGCCCCGGCUAACUACGUGCCAGCAGCCGCGGUAAUACGUAGGGGGCAAGCGUUAUCCGGAUUCACUGGGCGUAAAGGGAGCGCAGGCGGCACGGCAAGUCUGGUGUGAAAGCCCGGGGCCCAACCCCGGGACUGCAUUGGAAACUGUCUGGCUAGAGUGCAGGAGAG
rnacentral:rRNA from 1 species